UUUCCCUCAGGAUAGCUGGCACUCGCUUGAGCGAGUCUCAUCUGGUAAAGCGAAUGAUUAGAGGCCUUGGGGCCGAAACGACCUCAACCUAUUCUCAAACUUUAAAUGGGUGAGAUCUCUGGCUUGCUUGAACAUAUUGAAGCCAUGAGAUUAUCUGUAAUGGAUCAGAGUGCCAAGUGGGCCAAUUUUGGUAAGCAGAACUGGCGCUGUGGGA
rnacentral:rRNA from 1 species